rnacentral:rRNA from 1 species
AACGAACGCUGGCGGCAGGCUUAACACAUGCAAGUCGAACGAGCUGGGGGCUUCGGUCUGCGAUGCUAGUGGCGCACGGGUGUGUAAAACGCGGGAAUAUGCCCUUUAGUACGGAAUAACCACGGGAAAAUUUGGCUAAUACCGCCUACGACCUGCGGGGGCAAGAUUAGGCGCGUGGGGAUGGGCCCGCGGCUGGUCAGGUAGUUGGUGGGGUAGUGGCUUAUCAAGGCGUCGACGGGUAGCUGGGCUGAGAGGGUGACAGGACCAAUUGGGACUGAGAUACGGCCCAGACUACUACGGGAGGCAGCAGUGGGGAAUAUUGCACAAUGGGAGGAAGCCAGAUGCAGCAACGCCGCGUCGGGGAUGACGGCAUUCGGGUUGUAAUCCGAAUUCGCCUGUGACGAAGCGUUAGUGACGGUACUGGGUAAAGAAGCACCGGCUAACUACGUG